rnacentral:rRNA from 1 species
GGUUUGGUGGUCACAGCGCCAGAGAAACACCCGAUCCCAUCCCGAACUCGGCCGUUAAGCUCGGUUGCGCCGAUGGUACUGCGUCUUAAGGCGUGGGAGAGUAGGUCACCGCCAAACCU